AUGAAAUAUUCUCAUAUAUUUAAUGUAGAAAAACAAAAGUGAUUAAGGAAUCAAAUAUUGGUAAAAGGAAGUCCUAAUGUAACAAAAAAAGCAGUUAUGAAAAGUUUUCCAUGGAAGCUACAACGCACAAGUGAGAAUAUAACAUGUUCUAACAUGAAACUUGACUUACCUUUAGCAUUUUUCUGUGUCUUAGAUUCAAAGAUCUACAGGGCAUAUUACAAUUAAAACAAUCGAGACACACAAAAAUAAAUGCAUAUUUAUGUGGAUGUCAGCAAGGGCUUUGGUGCAAUGGUCAGUUUGCUCAAUUGUGACCUACAGUUCACAGGGUCUUACCAUGGAAACAACCUCCUACAGUGCAAGGGAGAAUGCAGUGUACAUCUAGCCCUCCAUGGAGCCCAAAAUGCACAAAGUCUUGUAAAAUACAUUUUCACAUUGCAUAUAAGCAUUAUGGAAGUGAAUUAAGUCUAUACAUCAUAUGGAGUUUGGGCUGGUAAUAGCCCCUAGAGGAAGCAUGAGUUUAAAUAGAAGAGAUAAACUUUGGUAAUAGUGAUCAAAGCUAAUUGAACUUCUAUUUGACACGACUUUGGAGGGGGGCAAAAAGUAAGAGAAGCAUGACCCUUUAGCCUAGUAAUUUGAUUGAGAGUUACUUUUCUCCUUUUUCCUUUAACCAUUGUUAUACCUUAGCCCAACCCCUUGGUGUAUUAGCCCAACCCCUUGGUGUAUGUCUGAGCAUAAGUAAGCCUCACUUUGAAAAGAGAUGGGCCAUUGGACCCAGAAGGUCUUAGCAGGGGGACGGAGACCAAGGGACAAAGGAAAAUUGAAAGUGGUAAUUUUUUCCUGGCUCCCUCUGCACAAAAGUAGACAGAAUAACUGGAUGAGAGAGAGAGGGGCAUUUCUACAGUUACAAUUCCUUAUAUAGUCCCAUUAAACUCUAUUAUCUUCCGAAUUCCCAACAAUUGAUCACUGAUGUAUUGCAAUACAAUUGGUAGAAUAGAGAGAAGGGCCAUGUUUCAAUGCCUAAAGAGUUGCAACUUAUUGUCAAAUUUCUCCCCUCAAACCUGAAUUAUUAGCAGCACUUUAAAUACAUUAGUCAACUUAAGCAUGUAGCAAUGUACAUUCUCAAUGUCAUGAGGACAAGUACAAAACCCAUUGCUGCAAAGAACUAUUCAGUCAAACAGAAGGAUUACAAGGAGUGGAAAUUAGGACUCCAUUAAAGAGAAACUUGAACAAGACAUGACAAGAACUCAUUUAACCUAAAUAGAUGACUCAAUUUACAUAGAAAGUAAUUAAUAACUAUUUAGCAUCUAUUUCAACAUAUUUUAGAUAUGAAAUUACUAUGAAU
rnacentral:misc_RNA from 1 species